AGAGUUUGAUCAUGGCUCAGAACGAACGUUGGCGGCGUGGUUGAGGCAUGCAAGUCGCACGAGAAGUAUGUAGCAAUACAUAUUGUAAAGUGGCGGAAGGGUGAGGAAUGGGUAGAUAACGUACCCAGGAGAUGGGGAUAACGGCUCGAAAGAGCCGCUAAUACCCGAUGAGACCACGGCGCAAGCUGAGGUCAAAGGCUGGGGAUCUUCGGACCUGGCGCUCUUGGAUCGGUCUGCUUCCUACCAGCUAGUUGGCGGGGUAAUGGCCCACCAAGGCUUCGACGGGUACCCGGGCUGAGAGGCUGAUCGGGCACAUCGGCACUGAGACACUGGCCGGACACCUACGGGUGGCUGCAGUUCGGAAUAUUCGGCAAUGGACGAAAGUCUGACCGAGCGACGCCGCGUGCGGGAUGAAGGCCCUAUGGGUUGUAAACCGCUUUCGCGAGUAGGCAAAUCAAGGUUAGUUAAUAAGUAACUUUGUUGAGUAAGGCUCGUAAAGAAGCCCCCGCUAAUCACGUGCCAGCAGCGGCGGUAAUACGUGAGGGGCGAACGUUGUUCGGUGUCACUGGGCUUAAAGGGUGCGUAGGUGGUUCUGUAAGUAAGGUGUGAAAUCCCUCGGCUUACCCGGGGAAUUGCAUUUUAUACUGCAGGACUUGAGGGCUAAAGGGGAAAAGGGAACUCCAGGUGUAGCGGUGAAAUGCGCAGAUAUCUGGGGGAAGGCCGGCGGCGAAGGCGCUUUUCUGGUUAGUACCUGACACUGAGGCACGAAAGCGUGGGGAGCAAACAGGAUUAGAUACCCUAGUAGUCC
rnacentral:rRNA from 1 species